GACGAACGCUGGCGGCGUGCUUAACACAUGCAAGUCGAACGGAAAGGCCCUGCUUUUGUGGGGUGCUCGAGUGGCGAACGGGUGAGUAACACGUGAGUAACCUGCCCUUGACUUUGGGAUAACUUCAGGAAACUGGGGCUAAUACCGGAUAGGAGCUCCUGCUGCAUGGUGGGGGUUGGAAAGUUUCGGCGGUUGGGAAUGGACUCGCGGCUUAUCAGCUUGUUGGUGGGGUAGUGGCUUACCAAGGCUUUGACGGGUAGCCGGCCUGAGAGGGUGACCGGCCACACUGGGACUGAGAUACGGCCCAGACUCCUACGGGAGGCAGCAGUGGGGAAUAUUGCACAAUGGGCGGAAGCCUGAUGCAGCAACGCCGCGUGCGGGAUGACGGCCUUCGGGUUGUAAACCGCUUUCGCCUGUGACGAAGCGUGAGUGACGGUAAUGGGUAAAGAAGCACCGGCUAACUACGUG
rnacentral:rRNA from 1 species